rnacentral:misc_RNA from 1 species
CCGAGUUUACAACUCCCAAACCCAAUGUGAACGUUACCAAACUGUUGCCUCGGCGGGAUCUCUGCCCCGGGUGCGUCGCAGCCCCGGACCAAGGCGCCCGCCGGAGGACCAACCAAAACUCUUUUAUCUCUGUAUCUCUGAGUAAAAAACAAAUAAGUUA